rnacentral:tmRNA from 1 species
GGGGGUGCAAUGGUUUCGACGGGGAUUUUGAAUCAGGGAUAGCCAUUGAUGCUGGGUAAUCAUCCAAACUGCCCAAACUUUUAAAAAAAUAAAAGACAAUAACGAAGUUCUUUUAGCUGCCUAAUUUGGCGGUCGUCGGCCUUAGGUAACCCGCUGCUUAAGUAACCGGCGUCGAACAGGCGGGGCACUUUUGCCGCAAAGCUUUGAGCGGUGAAAAGACCUAUGAAGCUACCAAAGUACAGAGUGUGUCUGUUCACGCUGUAUGGAGGGAAUUACAAUAAACAGACUGUAAUGGGAGAAGUCUUUGUGGAUAGGUUUUCGGACAGGGGUUCGACUCCCCUCACCUCCAC